GACGAACGCUGGCGGCGUGCCUAAUACAUGCAAGUCGAACGCUUCUUUCCUCCCGAGUGCUUGCACUCAAUUGGAAAGAGGAGUGGCGGACGGGUGAGUAACACGUGGGUAACCUACCCAUCAGAGGGGGAUAACACUUGGAAACAGGUGCUAAUACCGCAUAACAGUUUAUGCCGCAUGGCAUAAGAGUGAAAGGCGCUUUCGGGUGCCGCUGAUGGAUGGACCCGCGGUGCAUUAGCUAGUUGGUGAGGUAACGGCUCACCAAGGCCACGAUGCAUAGCCGACCUGAGAGGGUGAUCGGCCACACUGGGACUGAGACACGGCCCAGACUCCUACGGGAGGCAGCAGUAGGGAAUCUUCGGCAAUGGACGAAAGUCUGACCGAGCAACGCCGCGUGAGUGAAGAAGGUUUUCGGAUCGUAAAACUCUGUUGUUAGAGAAGAACAAGGACGUUAGUAACUGAACGUCCCCUGACGGUAUCUAACCAGAAAGCCACGGCUAACUACGUG
rnacentral:rRNA from 1 species